CAUGAUGAACGCUAGCUACGGGCUUAACACAUGCAAGUCGAGGGGCAGCAUGGUCUUAGCUUGCUAAGGCCGAUGGCGACCGGCGCACGGGUGAGUAACACGUAUCCAACCUGCCGUCUACUCUUGGACAGCCUUCUGAAAGGAAGAUUAAUACAAGAUGGCAUCAUGAGUCCACAUGUUCACAUGAUUAAAGGUAUUCCGGUAGACGAUGGGGAUGCGUUCCAUUAGAUAGUAGGCGGGGUAACGGCCCACCUAGUCUUCGAUGGAUAGGGGUUCUGAGAGGAAGGUCCCCCACAUUGGAACUGAGACACGGUCCAAACUCCUACGGGAGGCAGCAGUGAGGAAUAUUGGUCAAUGGGCGAGAGCCUGAACCAGCCAAGUAGCGUGAAGGAUGACUGCCCUAUGGGUUGUAAACUUCUUUUAUAAAGGAAUAAAGUCGGGUAUGGAUACCCGUUUGCAUGUACUUUAUGAAUAAGGAUCGGCUAACUCCGUGCCAGCAGCCGCGGUAAUACGGAGGAUCCGAGCGUUAUCCGGAUUUAUUGGGUUUAAAGGGAGCGUAGAUGGAUGUUUAAGUCAGUUGUGAAAGUUUGCGGCUCAACCGUAAAAUUGCAGUUGAUACUGGAUAUCUUGAGUGCAGUUGAGGCAGGCGGAAUUCGUGGUGUAGCGGUGAAAUGCUUAGAUAUCACGAAGAACUCCGAUUGCGAAGGCAGCCUGCUAAGCUGCAACUGACAUUGAGGCUCGAAAGUGUGGGUAUCAAACAGGAUUAGAUACCCUGGUAGUCCACACGGUAAACGAUGAAUACUCGCUGUUUGCGAUAUACAGCAAGCGGCCAAGCGAAAGCGUUAAGUAUUCCACCUGGGGAGUACGCCGGCAACGGUGAAACUCAAAGGAAUUGACGGGGGCCCGCACAAGCGGAGGAACAUGUGGUUUAAUUCGAUGAUACGCGAGGAACCUUACCCGGGCUUAAAUUGCAGAUGAAUUACGGUGAAAGCCGUAAGCCGCAAGGCAUCUGUGAAGGUGCUGCAUGGUUGUCGUCAGCUCGUGCCGUGAGGUGUCGGCUUAAGUGCCAUAACGAGCGCAACCCUUGUUGUCAGUUACUAACAGGUUCCGCUGAGGACUCUGACAAGACUGCCAUCGUAAGAUGUGAGGAAGGUGGGGAUGACGUCAAAUCAGCACGGCCCUUACGUCCGGGGCUACACACGUGUUACAAUGGGGGGUACAGAGGGCCGCUACCACGCGAGUGGAUGCCAAUCCCAAAAACCUCUCUCAGUUCGGACUGGAGUCUGCAACCCGACUCCACGAAGCUGGAUUCGCUAGUAAUCGCGCAUCAGCCACGGCGCGGUGAAUACGUUCCCGGGCCUUGUACACACCGCCCGUCAAGCCAUGGGAGCCGGGGGUACCUGAAGUGCGUAACCGCGAGGAGCGCCCUAGGGU
rnacentral:rRNA from 1 species